rnacentral:rRNA from 2 species
GGGUUGUGAGGUUAAGCGACUAAGCGUACACGGUGGAUGCCCUGGCAGUCAGAGGCGAUGAAGGACGUGCUAAUCUGCGAAAAGCGCCGGCGAGGUGAUAUGAACCUUUGACCCGGCGAUGUCCGAAUGGGGAAACCCAGUGUGUUCCGACACACUAUCGUUAACUGAAUACAUAGGUUAACGAGGCGAACCGGGGGAACUGAAACAUCUAAGUACCCCGAGGAAAAGAAAUCAACCGAGAUUCCCCCAGUAGCGGCGAGCGAACGGGGAGCAGCCCAGAGUCUGAAUCAGCUUGUGUGUUAGUGGAAGCGUCUGGAAAGUCGCACGGUACAGGGUGACAGUCCCGUACACGAAAAUGCACAGGUUGUGAACUCGAAGAGUAGGGCGGGACACGUGGUAUCCUGUCUGAAUAUGGGGGGACCAUCCUCCAAGGCUAAAUACUCCUGACUGACCGAUAGUGAACCAGUACCGUGAGGGAAAGGCGAAAAGAACCCCGGCGAGGGGAGUGAAAUAGAACCUGAAACCGUGUACGUACAAGCAGUGGGAGCACCUUCGUGGUGUGACUGCGUACCUUUUGUAUAAUGGGUCAGCGACUUAUAUUCUGUAGCAAGGUUAACCGUAUAGGGGAGCCGAAGGGAAACCGAGUCUUAACUGGGCGUUAAGUUGCAGGGUAUAGACCCGAAACCCGGUGAUCUAGCCAUGGGCAGGUUGAAGGUUGGGUAACACUAACUGGAGGACCGAACCGACUAAUGUUGAAAAAUUAGCGGAUGACUUGUGGCUGGGGGUGAAAGGCCAAUCAAACCGGGAGAUAGCUGGUUCUCCCCGAAAGCUAUUUAGGUAGCGCCUCGUGAACUCAUCUUCGGGGGUAGAGCACUGUUUCGGCUAGGGGGCCAUCCCGGCUUACCAACCCGAUGCAAACUACGAAUACCGAAGAAUGUUAUCACGGGAGACACACGGCGGGUGCUAACGUCCGUCGUGAAGAGGGAAACAACCCAGACCGCCAGCUAAGGUCCCAAAGUCAUGGUUAAGUGGGAAACGAUGUGGGAAGGCACAGACAGCCAGGAUGUUGGCUUAGAAGCAGCCAUCAUUUAAAGAAAGCGUAAUAGCUCACUGGUCGAGUCGGCCUGCGCGGAAGAUGUAACGGGGCUAAACCAUGCACCGAAGCUGCGGCAGCGACACUAUGUGUUGUUGGGUAGGGGAGCGUUCUGUAAGCCGUUGAAGGUGGCCUGUGAGGGUUGCUGGAGGUAUCAGAAGUGCGAAUGCUGACAUAAGUAACGAUAAAGCGGGUGAAAAGCCCGCUCGCCGGAAGACCAAGGGUUCCUGUCCAACGUUAAUCGGGGCAGGGUGAGUCGACCCCUAAGGCGAGGCCGAAAGGCGUAGUCGAUGGGAAACAGGUUAAUAUUCCUGUACUUGGUGUUACUGCGAAGGGGGGACGGAGAAGGCUAUGUUAGCCGGGCGACGGUUGUCCCGGUUUAAGCAUGUAGGCGGAACGAUUAGGUAAAUCCGGUCGUUUAUUAACGCUGAGGUGUGAUGACGAGGCACUACGGUGCUGAAGUAACAAAUGCCCUGCUUCCAGGAAAAGCCUCUAAGCAUCAGGUAACAUCAAAUCGUACCCCAAACCGACACAGGUGGUCAGGUAGAGAAUACCAAGGCGCUUGAGAGAACUCGGGUGAAGGAACUAGGCAAAAUGGUGCCGUAACUUCGGGAGAAGGCACGCUGAUAUGUAGGUGAAGCCCCUGCGGGUGGAGCUGAAAUCAGUCGAAGAUACCAGCUGGCUGCAACUGUUUAUUAAAAACACAGCACUGUGCAAACACGAAAGUGGACGUAUACGGUGUGACGCCUGCCCGGUGCCGGAAGGUUAAUUGAUGGGGUUAGCGGCAACGCGAAGCUCUUGAUCGAAGCCCCGGUAAACGGCGGCCGUAACUAUAACGGUCCUAAGGUAGCGAAAUUCCUUGUCGGGUAAGUUCCGACCUGCACGAAUGGCGUAAUGAUGGCCAGGCUGUCUCCACCCGAGACUCAGUGAAAUUGAACUCGCUGUGAAGAUGCAGUGUACCCGCGGCAAGACGGAAAGACCCCGUGAACCUUUACUAUAGCUUGACACUGAACACUGGUCCUUGAUGUGUAGGAUAGGUGGGAGGCUUUGAAGCGUGGACGCCAGUCUGCGUGGAGCCGUCCUUGAAAUACCACCCUUUAAUGGCUGGUGUUCUAACGUAGACCCGUAAUCCGGGUUGCGGACAGUGUCUGGUGGGUAGUUUGACUGGGGCGGUCUCCUCCCAAAGAGUAACGGAGGAGCACGAAGGUUAGCUAAUCCUGGUCGGACAUCAGGAGGUUAGUGCAAUGGCAUAAGCUAGCUUGACUGCGAGAGUGACGGCUCGAGCAGGUGCGAAAGCAGGUCAUAGUGAUCCGGUGGUUCUGAAUGGAAGGGCCAUCGCUCAACGGAUAAAAGGUACUCCGGGGAUAACAGGCUGAUACCGCCCAAGAGUUCAUAUCGACGGCGGUGUUUGGCACCUCGAUGUCGGCUCAUCACAUCCUGGGGCUGAAGUAGGUCCCAAGGGUAUGGCUGUUCGCCAUUUAAAGUGGUACGCGAGCUGGGUUUAGAACGUCGUGAGACAGUUCGGUCCCUAUCUGCCGUGGGCGCUGGAGAAUUGAGGGGGGCUGCUCCUAGUACGAGAGGACCGGAGUGGACGCAUCACUGGUGUUCGGGUUGUCAUGCCAAUGGCACUGCCCGGUAGCUAAAUGCGGAAAAGAUAAGUGCUGAAAGCAUCUAAGCACGAAACUUGCCCCGAGAUGAGUUCUCCCUGAGACUUUAAGUCUCCUGAAGGAACGUUGAAGACGACGACGUUGAUAGGUCGGGUGUGUAAGCGCAGCGAUGCGUUGAGCUAACCGAUACUAAUGAACCGUGAGGCUUAACCUUACAACGCCGAAG